rnacentral:rRNA from 1 species
CGGACGGGUGAGUAAUGUCUGGGAAACCGCCUGAUGGAGGGGGAUAACUACUGGAAACGGUAGCUAAUACCGCAUAACGUCGCAAGACCAAAGAGGGGGACCUUCGGGCCUCUUGCCAUCAGAUGUGCCCAGAUGGGAUUAGCUAGUAGGUGGGGUAACGGCUCACCUAGGCGACGAUCCCUAGCUGGUCUGAGAGGAUGACCAGCCACACUGGAACUGAGACACGGUCCAGACUCCUACGGGAGGCAGCAUG